GGCUCCCUCAGUCUGGCGUCAUCUAGGUCGCUGCUCAGGGAAAUGCGGAGGCCAGUAGGCUUACGUGUUUACCGCGUAGGGCAAAGCCUUGCCAAAUUCCCGGCCAGCGGAGCGGCGAGGGUGGGGACUCACGGGAAGUUAAACAGCCUCGUCGGCGUCCUCGAGGCUCCAAAACCAGGCUCUAGGCGGGGACGACUGCAGCCGUUAUGGAGGCCACCGCGGCUACGGCCGCGGCUGAGGCCUCCCCAGGUGGAGCGGUGGCCUGGAGGGGAAUCUUGAUCCUGGGCCAGCCACCUGUCAAGAGGAGGCGGAGCGUCAUGCCUCUGGAAGACUGGAUGAAUAUUCUCCAGGAGCCUGACGAAGGCGUGAGUAAUAGGGACGUGCGCCGCCUUGUUGGUGUUGAUCAGUCCACCAAGGAGAAGCAGCUGGUCGCAGUGGCCGUACCUGUAAUCCCAGCGCUUUGGGAGGCCGCGGCGGGAGGAUCGCUUGAGCCCGGGAGUUCGAGACCAGCCUGGGCAACAUAGUGAGAAACCCGUCUCUACCAAAAAGAAAAAAAAAAAAAAAGGAAAAAAAUUAGUGCGGUGUGGUGGCACGCACCUGUAGUCCCAGCUACUCGGGAGGCUGAAGCGGGAGGGUCCCCUAAGUCUAGGAGGUCGAGGCUUCAGUGAGCGGUGAUUGUGCCACUGCACUCCAGCCUGGGCGACAGAGCAAGACCCUGCUUUCCCCUCUUGUCCUCCACUACCCUCAGGAAACCAAGAAAGACCAGCGUGGAGAGUUGGUCGCCCAUCUGCUCUAAGCUGCUGUGUAUUCCCCUGUAAUGUAAACAUCGUGAAGGUGGAGACCCAGUUAACCUUUUAGGUGGAAGGCCAGAUGACAGAGGGCGGCAUCUGACCCGGAAGGCCCUCUGCAACCAGGCCAAAUACAUCUACAGGGAACCAAUGGGAAACAUCUGGGGAGGACAACCCAAAUAAGUAUCAUGCGAGCAAGGGAUGGUUUGAGAACUUUAAAAAUCGCUGCUGUUUUGCAACAUACGAAGUUGAUGGGGAGGAAGGACCCUUAAAUCCUGAGUGGGUAUCGAGUAUUCCAAGCAACUGGAGAGAGGCUUUGUGCCUCAACAGGUCUUCAACGCCAAGGAGAUGACCCAUCUUUUGCAGUGCAUGCCUUCCUACUUUUGGGGCAAAAGACAAAAAUCUGGAAAGCUUAGAGGAAGCUAAGGACAGGAUUUCCCUCAUUUUUUUGUGGCAGUGCCUCAGGUGACAAAAUGAUAAAACCACUGCUGCUUUACAAAGACUCUAACACCCCACUUGUCUUUUAGAGAUAAACGCCUUCCUGUUUUCUUGUAAUCACACCCAGAAUCACCACUGCCACUUUUUGGAUUAGUUUUACAAUUUUUUUAUCCAUCAAAUCCGAAGUCAUUUAACAAAAAAAAUCUGGAAAUCAGAAUGUUGCUAACUGUGGACAGAGGUCCCAAUCACCCAGAUUCAUUAUUCUUUGUUCAUUCUAAUGUUGAUACUGUGUUUCUCCCUCAGGAAGGCCCUAGCUUUCUUCAGCCCUUGGGUCAGGGUAUAACUGAAGCAUUUGAACAUAAUCAAGCAUAUGUUUGACCACUUUGCUGACUGUAUUGAAAAAACCCUCACCUUACUCUGAAAGAAGCAUGGCAACAGUACAAUAUUGCCGAUGCUUUGGUAGUGAUAAAAGAGGUGAUGGGUGAUAUAAAAUCAGCCACUCUUAAGCUUGCUGGAAACUGUGGGAGGAUGUGUGAAUGAUGCAUAUUUCCCUAGAGCUAAUGAAGAAGUUAAAAAAAAUCUUAGUGUCUGCAAAACAGGAAGAAGUCUUUGCAGAGGAAAUUGAAUGCUGUCUGAUGCUACAAUUCAUAUGGAUCCUUUCCUGGAUUGAAGCCUGACUUUUAAAAAAGGUUUCAAUAAAUUGCUUAUACCUAUGAAGAGAUGCAAAAGAACCUUCAAAAUAAAGCAAAGGACUUGAAGAAAGAGAAGGAAGACAUGAAGAAGAGGAUGUCAUUUAGGUGAAGGUGAUGGAUACAGAAUCUGAGUCUGAGGGGAGCCUGGUUGACAGAGAGACAAAAAAAGAAAUUUUUUUUUUCUGACUAAAAAAAAAAAGGAAAUUUUGUUAACAAAAUCAAGAAUUUAAAAAAAA
ensembl:lncRNA CUTALP cutA divalent cation tolerance like, pseudogene